UGGGGAAUAUUGCACAAUGGGCGCAAGCCUGAUGCAGCCAUGCCGCGUGUAUGAAGAAGGCCUUCGGGUUGUAAAGUACUUUCAGCGGGGAGGAAGGCGAUAAGGUUAAUAACCUUGUCGAUUGACGUUACCCGCAGAAGAAGCACCGGCUAACUCCGUGCCAGCAGCCGCGGUAAUACGGAGGGUGCAAGCGUUAAUCGGAAUUACUGGGCGUAAAGCGCACGCAGGCGGUCUGUCAAGUCGGAUUUGAAAUCCCCGGGCUCAACCUGGGAACUGCAUUCGAAACUGGCAGGCUAGAGUCUUGUAGAGGGGGGUAGAAUUCCAGGUGUAGCGGUGAAAUGCGUAGAGAUCUGGAGGAAUACCGGUGGCGAAGGCGGCCCCCUAGACAAAGACUGACGCUCAGGUGCGAAAGCGUGGGGAGCAAACA
rnacentral:rRNA from 1 species